CUACCAAGGCGAGGACGGGUAGGGGGCGUGAGAGCGUGACCCCCCAGACUGGCACUGAGACACGGGCCAGACUCCUACGGGAGGCAGCAGUCGGGGAUAUUGCGCAAUGGACGAAAGUCUGACGCAGCGACGCCGCGUGAGUGAUGAAGGCCUUCGGGUUGUAAAACUCUUUUAUGGGGGAAGAGGAAGGACGGUACCCCAUGAAUAAGCGUCGGCUAACUACGUGCCAGCAGCCGCGGUAAAACGUAGGACGCAAGCGUUAUCCGGAUUUACUGGGCGUAAAGAGCGUUGAAGGCGGUUCCGUAAGUUGGGGCGUGAAAGCCCUCGGCUUAACUGAGGGACGCCGUCCAAAUACUGCAGGGACUUGAGGGCAGCAGAGGGAGGUGGAAUUCCCGGUGUAGCGGUGAAAUGCGUAGAGAUCGGGAGGAACACCAGUGGCGAAGGCCGGCCUCCUGGGCUGCUUCUGACGCUGAAUGCGAAAGCUAGGGUAGCGAACGGGAUUAGAAACCCCGGUAGUCCUAGCUGUAAACGAUGGAUGCUAGGUGUAGGAGGUAUAGAUCCCUUCUGUGCCGAAGCUAACGCGAUAAGCAUCCCGCCUGGGGACUACGGCCGCAAGGCUAAAACUCAAACGAAUUGACGGGGGCCCGCACAAGCAGCGGAGCGUGUGGUUUAAUUCGAUGCUACACGAAGAACCUUACCUGGGUUUGACAUGUAGGUAGUAGUGAAGCGAAAGCGGAACGACCCUUCGGGGAGCCUACACAGGUGCUGCAUGGCUGUCGUCAGCUCGUGCCGUGAGGUGUCGGGUUAAGUCCCGUAACGAGCGCAACCCCUGUCCUUAGUUACAAGUGUCUAAGGAGACUGCCGGCGACAAGCCGGAGGAAGGUGGGGAUGACGUCAAGUCAGCAUGGCCUUUAUGUCCAGGGCUACACACACGCUACAAUGGCCGGUACAAUGGGUUGCCAAGCCGUGAGGCGGAGCUAAUCCCCCAAAGCCGGUCUCAGUUCGGAUUGUGGGCUGCAACUCGCCCACAUGAAGUUGGAGUUGCUAGUAACCGCAGGUCAGCUAUACUGCGGUGAAUACGUUCCCGGGCCUUGUACACACCGCCCGUCACGUCAUGGAAGUCAGUAACACCUGAAGCCGGUGGGCUAACCUGCAAGGGGGCAGCCGUCGAAGGUGGGA
rnacentral:rRNA from 1 species